ensembl:lncRNA
GGAUUUUUUAGAGUGACCUUGAGGAUUAAAAUCUCUUGGUAAAUCAUACAUCAUGAUACGUGGAGUUCAUGUAACACUGUGUAGUAUCAGGCUGAUGUAGGGGUGCAAAAGUCACCAGCUAAGACCCAGGGGCAGUUUCUCCAGCCACAGGAUUCCUUUGUAUUGCAAAGCCUAGAGAAUGAGGAGCAGAAGAAUUCGCAUACUCAAGAUUCAAGUAAAGAGCACAGGAAAUGUCUAUGAAGGAAAAAGCAGUGGAAGAAGAGAACAACAGCAUCAAAAAUAACUCUAUGCAUCGAACCUAAUCCUGUGCACCUGCUACUGCGUCACUGAAGAGACUGAGUGUAGCCUGCAGUGAUAACAAGGUGGGAGAGACGUUAGGAGUGAAGUGUGUAAAGAUGAUCUAUUGCUGCUAAGCCACAGGAGGCAUCCAUACUGAGGGCCAGGACCUUAGGAAGUGGGAAUGGAGCUGAAGGCUAUGAUACAGAAACAUAGGAGUGAGCAGGUGGAACAUGCAGCAGGACAGGAGUUGAGCCCGUUUGCUCCAAGGGCUGCACCAAGGGAUUAGCACUGCUGGGGCCUAGGCAGCACCAGUGAGCCUGAGGCCAGCAGACAGAAAUGCCUCCCUGGGACAAACAAGCACCCUUCAGGACAGCCGGCACAGCUGUUCCUGCAGUGGAGGCUGCUAACUUCUUGUUCAAUCACCACAAAAACAUGGCAUCAUACCAGGCACUCUGAAGAAAACAAUUCAACUCCAGUUGAAACUAAGAAACACUUGGGGAACUCUGUAGUAGUAUGCUUUGAGCUGAAAGGACCACAUCUGAAUUCAUUUCACCUAUCCUUAAAGAAUGCUGAUGGCUCAAAGUAAAAAAAAAGAAGACAAAAAAGGCAAUCAGCUGAAAUCACAGCAGAUAAACUCCUCUGGGGAACAGAUCUGAUCACAUCUCAAAGGGAAGCUCCUGCAGAAAGCAGUGCUAUUUCCUCUGAAUAGAACAUCCUGGGGCGUGCAGGCAAUACCAACUAUCAUUUUGUAUUUGUAUUUCUUGACUGUUAUUCCUGUGGUGCUAUUUAAGGUGUUGACUGUGGUCAUAAAGAGAACUCAAAUUAGGUUGCAUGAUCAAGCUGGAAAAAUUAUCCUAGGCUUGCUGGGAAAGUCUGUGCAUAUGGCUGGAUAUGCACACACCAAGAUAGUGAAAGGAAUUAGGCUUCUGUAGGUUUUUAUCUAGAUGAAUUCCACUUGAAUGGAUUUAAUGCUGACUCUGCUUAGUUGGAUUGUCUAUUGAGUACUACUGAGUCUGAAGUAUAUAAAUGGUGUCCUCUCACUUAUACUGACACAAGAAAAUCAAGAUGAAUGCAGGAAAAUUAAAUUUCAGUGAUAUAUGUGAAGACUUAAGAAAUCAAAUUGGGAAAACUGGCAAUUAUUCUGCUAUACAAAAAAAGAAUUAAUUCCAAAUUUAAAUUUUUUUAGGUCAUGUUGUAUUUCAUCCUUCCUCAGACAAUGAUUUUUUAUCUUAGAAGACAUCCUUCAGAUAACAGUGCUUUCUCUUACGGUAGAAAUAGCAUUUUCCCAAACUGUUUGUUCCAAAUUUGGCUUUCAUUUCUCUAACUCAAGGAUAGAGACUGUGUCUCUUUUGAAAUUGUUAUUUCUGUCCAUAUAUCAUCAUGCAAAUACUUCUCAGAAUAAAAUUAAAUGGAUAAUUUAAAUGCAGUCUACUUAAGCAAGACAUUGUGUUUCUCUCCAAAUGAACAUUACACUGCAAUAACAUGGGCAGUAAAACUAUAAUUUCUAAUUAAUUCCUAAAUGUCAACUAUCCUUUGGAAAACUAAUGAAAAAUCUAAUUGUUCAAGGAUAACCUAGACAAAACUUAAAGAAAAAAUGUUUCUAUGGUAUCUAAGACCUAAACUUUAUUAAAAUGGAUUAUUUAAGGUAUUUAAAUACAUGAGAAAUAACUGGACAGGUGUCAAAAUAGCUGAGUUAUACUCAAAGGUUUGAAACAAAGUAUUUGAAAAUUAAAUAGAAGCGUGUCAUUGUUUACAAAAUUCAUUUUAGACAUUACACUCCUCCAUGUUUUGACUAAGUUCCCUCUCUUUCUUCCAAACACAUAUUUCUCCCCAGCACCCUCAUUUAGAAGAACUGAGGUAUCCCUGAUUUUACAGUGGUAGUAUGAAUGAGCUAAUUCACGACAUCACACGGUAAUGAAUGUUUGGAGUUUGAAAGAGAGCCUCAGCAGCAUUACUAGGGACUGACUUUGUGAAAACUUUUAUUAUUUAAAUAUCUGAAAGACCAUCAAAUGGUCUAACAAGAGGAUAUACAAACCUCAGCUAAGACUCAGAUGUACUUUGCAUGUGAGCUUUGCCCUUUUAUAUCAGUUCUCCUAUAAAUGAUUCUUAUUCUAAUGGGAGUGUGCAAGUUUUGGUCUAAUAUCUCAAAUCUGCACUAAAGUCCUCCAAUUUCUAAUGAAUGUGCUCAGCUACUCGAAAUUCUGUGGUGAUAAAAGAGUGCACCUUUUCCACUCAAGUACCCUUUUCGCUGUAACAAGAUGUGAGAAAAACCUCUUGACCUAUACAAAGAAAAUUGGACCGAUAAAUGUUGAAUAGAGGCGUACUGAAAGUUCAUGAGGAGACAGGCAUCCUUCAAUUCUUAGCAAUGAUUACUCUGAAACUUCUAUGAAGUUUAUAAUGUAGAUGUGGGAUAAAAAUGAGAUAAAUGAUUGGCAUAUGCAUUUAUUUUUUUUUUCUUUCUUUCUUAUUUCAUAGCUCUCCCUAAGCCCGUGCAAAUUUAGGAGCAUGGCACUGUUUUUGUAUAAGCCAUAAAAGAACAUAGACAUUAUGUAAAUAGUUUCAGUGGAGAAAUGAAGUGGAAAAACUCAUUUUACAAUAGAAAGAAUAAAUGGAAUUACUUACCAUUUGAUGGGGCUGAAAACCACUGAGCUUUAGAGAAGUCUGAUCAUUUCUGUAAGCACUUACAUGUAAUAAGGAAUAAUGAAUUUUAGCUUGUGUCUUCCUAGACACAGCAUCCCACCUCAAAGAGGAAGAGGGGAAAAGGUGGAUCAAACUUCUUAUCUCUGUAACACAUAUAAAACCAAAGAAAACAGUACACUACAGUGGAACCUUUCUGUAUUUGUACCAGAGUAAUUGGGAACAGAGCCCUGAUUCCAGUAGUAAUUUAAGUUUUUGUGUGCUACCCACUGAACUCUUUAUGAAGCUCUUGUGCCUCAGGAAAAAUCUGCUCUUCUCCCAUUGAAGCUACAGGGAUAUUGGAUGACUUUAACUAGGACAAGGGGCUGGCUUGAGGGGCUGGCCAAGGCACCAACAGUAGCUGUAAUGCCAUUGCCUUGGGGCGGCUUCUAACUCAGCUGAAAGCAGUGUCAGUCAGCUCCAGAUGAGCAUUUCUACUCUGUGAUUUUGCAGCCUUGGAAUCCACCACCCACACUGGUGACAGUGAAAUUGAUAUGAAAGGCAACCUAUUUUCCAUUUUCAAAGGUAACCAUUAUGUCCUGGCCUUGAUCCAGUUAUAUUUGACUUUGAGCACAUCAGCUUAACUACAAUGAAAAUAUCAAGCCAUUAUUUAGGAAAACAUAAUCUCAUGUGAAGUUAUCCACAAACAUUCCAAGGUGCAGUUUAAUGUAUUUAUGCAUAAGUAAAUGUUGGAACAAUUUUAAAUUUAAAAAAAAAAAAAGUGAAUUAUCAGAAACAAGAUGACAAAAGAAGGAAUACUGAAGGCAGCACAACUGAGACUGCAGAACAGUUUGAUCUUCAGGGACUGAUUCUGCCUCAGUUUCAUGGCUCUGGCUAUUUUAACAUUAGCUAUGAAAUAACAUUACAAAAACAUAAUUAUGUUGUAAUUAUUUAGUGUUCUAUGGAAUUAAGCUAGUGAUAAUGAACACAAGAACACUAAUGUGGUCAAUUGUCCAUUUUUUACAAGUUUGUCACAAUAGUACUGAUACUUAACUUGAUUUGCGUGUAAUUUUAGAAAGGAAAUAUGUGUAUUAAAAAUGUAAUAUGAAUGACUUCUUUAUGCAGAUAGUUCCAUCAGAUUUAUCUUCUAGGAUUCCAGUUGGUAUGUUUCAAUAAUUUAGCAUCUAUUCAUUUUACUCAUUGUACUGGGAUUUUGUUAACCUUUUUUAAUUAGUAUUAAAGAGACUCAGUAGGAAUAUUCAUUGCCCACAGGUAAAAAUAUUCUCAUCAUUCGGUAGAAUGGCUAUUUUUAUAAUGUUCCUACUUUUAAGGUGCAAUUAUGUUACAAAUCCUUUGGAAUGCACAAAGAUAUUUAAAAGCAAGCACCUAUAAUUAUUCCAUAAACUAAUCUGUUAGCUCAUUCAAAAAUUAGACAUUAACAAAGAAAAAUGGAGGAGGGAAGGGAGCAAGAAGAAGGGAAGAAAGAAGGAAGGAAAUAAGGUUGAAUUUCUGCCACCUUCACUUGCAGUGAAGGCUUGCAAACAUUAUUAAAAGCCAUGUCUGAAAUCUCUACCAUCUUCAGUUGCAGAAACAAAAUCAAUCCUUGAAUUAAGAACUAUGAAAAAUAAAUAGUAAAAGAAGAAAAGCCACUUGGAGAAUGGCAGAAUAUGUUACAGGACAGAUUGGUCCAUGUGAUACAUCUUUUCACUGAUAACUUUUCAAAAUGCACUUAAAUCUUAUUUACCUUCAUUCUCUAUUGUUCCUCACACAAAAACAAUCAUUUCAUGGUAUGUGGCUGGUAUCUAGCUGUAGAACUAACAAGCAAUGAGAACAAUUGCUGUUACGAAGAAUAAGUGCCUACUUUGAAUUUUAUACUUAAAAAGAGAAACGUGAAAAAUAGCAUAUAAUAAAAAUUAAUGUCAGACAGACCUGCUCCGCUAACCUUGCAUGGUCUUUUUAAUUACUCUGCAGAAUUUUAAUAUGCUCCACUCACUGGAGAGGAAGGGAAUUUGUGUAUUAGUUUUCCUGACCUACAUUUGCACUCAUUUUGCUUAGCAGAAGGAAGUCAAGGAGGUGGGACACAUAAUAAGGAAGGGUUAUCAGGAUAUGAACUACUGAGUAAAACACAAGAUGUUCGGGUUCUCAAAAGUGAUUGAGAAGUUUCAUGACUUAUCCAAGAAAUCAGGAAUCAGUCACAGUAAUCGUACCAACACUUGUAACACACCCUAGAGAUUUGAGACAGUUUAGUUGUUGAAAACAGAAUUUAGCAACGUGAAAGAGAUGAAGGGGCCAGUUCAUGUUUAUGCUGGCUUCUCCCUUGUUUAGUUGGCCCAUUGACUUCAGUAGAGUUAUUUUGAGAUGUGAGUUCCUUUUAUGUCUGUUAGGAAAAUCGGGGGAAGCAGAAUGUUCUUUACUUUAACCCUGUUCUUAAAGAGAACAGCCAGUGAUUAAGCUCAUGUUGUGAAUCUUUUCCUCACACUAGGGAUAGUGUCCAUGGACAGUCUGACUCAUACCAGCUGCGCACAAACCUUCCCACCCCAGAAACGGCUUAUUAUUGCCCAGCAGACCUAUGGAAAAUCCUAGAAUUUCUGAAAACUAGUUCUGUAUGUAAAAUAAAUACAAUUAAUUUUUAAUUUAGUGAAAGAUCACUACUGCACAGUGGAGGUCAGAAAUCUUCUUUUGUUCAGCAAAAAUUCACUCCUUUAUCUAUUGACCCCCAAGAUCCUUUGCCUCUUAGGAGGAAUAAAAAUAGAACUGAUGAAACACAACAUAACUUGAAUUAUGCAUCAGAGCUGCGACCUAGUGAAGAAAGCAAAGGAUGUUCUUGAUUUUAAGUCUCCUGAGAGCUUUCGUGGUGUCAUAUCAACCAGUCACUUUUAGCAAUCCAUUGCCAAUGCAUAUCUACAUGGAAAUGAUGCACAAAUUAGAUUUGAAUGUGAAGAUUUGACGUGAAGAUUUCCUCAUACUACAUUGGAAAGGUAAAGGAGCUUAAGGAUGGUUUGGCUGCUACAUAUAUCCAUGCUAAAACCCCUUAGAAACUAGAUCUUUUUCUGGGAAGUGGCACCCUGCAUCCAGUUCCCUGAGGUGCUGAGCACUUCCUGAAAGCAGCAGGAAUUGGACAUACUGACUGUUUUACAGGAUCAGAUUUUACCUCAAGUUAAAACUACCAGGUUUGCACAAAUCCUAUAGGCGAUUCAGCUAUGCCCAGAGAUAAUCAGGUACUCUGAGAUUAAAAUACUGAGAGCUAUCUUCUGUUCCCUGGGGAUGGUGUCUAAUAUAUGUUAAAUCCAAUCAGUGCCUCUUAGCUUUCUUCCCUGUCACAGAGUUUCAGUUUACUAAUUAGAAAUGUUCAGCUGCAAUUCCUUUGCAUCACUUUCUCGCCGGGUAGGAUUCAGCACCCUCUGAGAAUUUAAAAAGGUUACACCACCAUUUGUCAAGGUCACAGCAAGAAAGGUUUUUCAUUAAUUUUAGAUUGGCAAAGAAUAAGAAAUAUUGUAAUUGCUGCAUUUAAGCCAUUCACUGCACCAUCUCUCUUUCUACUUCACAGACAACCAAUUAGGGGCUUUAUUUAAAAUGUAUGAAUUGCAUGACUGUCAUUAAAGCUACAAUUCUAAAGAGUUCAUUUGCUUUCUUUAAUGGAAGUAUUACAGAAACUCAGGUAUUUUUCAGGACAAUGACCCAAUCACUCAACAUUUGGUAAAUAAAAAUGGCUCUGUAGGCCUGACCACAGGUGGAGUUUCCAUUAACAUGAGUGCUGAGAGGGCCUGGUUCUGUGAGGUGCUGACAGGCCACCGUGCCAGCCUUGACCAUCUGCAUCCUCAGUGUGACAGCAAGGCCAGGAAAAAACAACAUGAAAUGAAGUGCUCAACAUUUGUGAAAACUAUACAGAACUGCCUCCAAGGCCUGUUGCUGGUUACUGAAGCACAACUAUGACAUAGUUUCAGCAAAGCGAGAGCCAUUAGUGGACCCAAGGGCUCAGCCAAAUGUGCUUUCAGCAUUCUCCAACAUCCUACUAGCUUUCCUGAGUGAUUAUCUUUCUCAUGGCCAACAGCUACACCUUGCAUCUUCUUUCUUUUUUUUGCCACAUAUUGGAAAUGAGAUAUGGCUCUAUUCCCUUCUUUUUGUGUGUGUGUGUGUAUGUGAAAGGACAUAGAAGUAAGCAUCUUCUCUAUUUUAGAAGCAACACAUUUACAGCAAAGUGUUAGACUUGGUGGUCUGAGAUUAUAUUUUUUAGUAUGUUUUUUAACAGGUGUGCUUCAUCAUUAAGUGCAUCUUUCAAGCAGGAGGAUUCCUGCAGACUGUAAGGGCAUGGGAAUUGUAUGACUUCACAUUGGGAAUACAAAUUCUUGUCUUGAUUUGCUAGAAGGGAUUUGCUUUUUCAUGUGGUACUGCACUACUCCAAAAGCUUUCACUGGGACGUAAACAACUAACUAUCAUUUUAAUUCCUUAUAGAAAAUAUUUUGGCCUAUGUUUUUGUUUUCUUUUUAAUACCAACAAGAAAAAAUCUUUGUCCCAACUAUACCAUUAUCUGUAUAUAUACUGAAACACAGGCAUUUCUUUUGUUUUCAUCAUAUAGUAAAUGUGUUUUUUUCAUUUUUCACUGAUUAGUGUAUGCACAAGUAUGUGCAUAACCGGGAAGGUUUCUUGUGUCUGUCUUCUUCUCCAGUUAUUAAGAUCAUAAGACAUUGAAACCACAGAUCAAAAAAGAUCAUCCAUUUCUUUCUCCUUCUAAAAGUUCCAGAUGACUAUUUUCCAACUUAAGCAAAACACACAAGGCUCAAAAGCUUUUUCCAGCAAAAAAAGUCACCACAGAUGUAUCAAUUUUAAUUUCAUUUUAAUGCACUAUUUCUCCUCUUUGGUUAUUCAGUAUAAAAGAGAAUGUAUCUCCUGGACAUUUUGGCCCUUUCAUGAGUACAUCUGAAACUGCUUACAUCUCCUUUCCUUAGAGGUGCUAUGUUCAGACUAUGGAUUCACAUAUCUGAGUUUUCAGUUCCAUGUUCAUGAAUCCACUUCCAAAAUUCACACUGGGUACAAUCUGAUAUGCAUCAACAUGCAGCACUGAGUACACCACUUCUGGCCUCACAAUGGAAGCAAACCUGGAUGCACAGAAGGGAAAGUAAUAUGUGUAAGCUUCACACUGAUACCUGACAACAGGGACAACAGGACAAACAGGUAACAGAGAUUGCAAAGGCUCACUGAUAAAUCCCUCCAGUCAGCUUCAGCUCAACUGAUGUGUUACAGAAGCAGCCAGCAACAGACUCACAUGAAUAGAGGCAGAAUUGUACCCAAUCAACGUGGAAAGCUUCUACAAUGAAAUGUCUAGUUUGGCAGAUGAGGAGAGCUGUGAAUAUUAUCUAUCUUGACUUCAGAAAGUCUUUUUGCAUUAUGUCCCACAAGGUCCUCAUAGAGAAGCUGAUGAUUUAGUGGAGGGACGAGCAGACAGUGUGGUAGUUUGAAAAUCAGCUGAACUGCCAAGCCCAAAGCGUGGAUGAUCACUGGCAAAGAGUCUCAGCAGAGGCCAGUAACUAAUCGUGCACCAACGGGGUCAAUACUGUGUCCUAUCCUACUCAACAUCAUCAAGACUGCAAGAAAAGAUGACCUCCAGAAGUUCUUUUUAACCUCAUUCAUCAAGUCGAACAGCAUGGGGAUACCUACCAGUUGGUCUCAGAGUCCAGCAAGGGAAUACUACUUUUACUACUAGCUUUAACGCAUAGAACAGAUAUUCAGAUUGGGAUUGUAUUACCAGUAUCAAAAUUUAAUGCAAGUAAAAAACAAGAAACUUUUAAUUCACUAAUAUGUACUGUAUCAUGAAUAUCACUCCUCACAUGUUUUGUGAUUAUGGGUGUUGGGUGUUUUACAAUAAACUUGUAGCUGAAGACA